AACAAGUUAUAAAAUAAAUAAAAAAAAACUAAUCCUUCCCAGUAAGAUCGGAGCGCAAUAUGUUUUUCACCUUUCUUUUGUCUGUACAGUUUUUUUCCAACCAUUUAUUAUAGUCAACUAGACAUACGUUAGGCAACUUUUUUUUUUUCUUGCUUUUGAUUGUGCAGGACUUGGCAUACACACGUGCCUAGUGCCUCAAGCUCCCAGCGACUGUUGUUUUUAGGCACCACACUAGUGCAACAUGCCAGUGCAAACAGAAAAGAAAUAUGAUGCUUGAUUUUGUAUAACUGAGUUCAGUGUGCUUGUCUAGUUUUUUGCAACAAUUUACAAAAUGUACAUGCUGUACAGAACUGGAAUGACUUUUUCUACAUUGAAUGAGAGAUAUUGUACAGCAGUGGUUCAUGAAGGAUGUCAACAUCUAUGUGGAUCUAUAUGGUUGUACUAAAUAUGUUUGAAGAGAUUUAGCUGUGCUUUUGUUUGUGAAACGUAUCUUCUGCAAAUAAGAUGGUAUAGAAUAGCUUAUUAUGGGACAAACUUUGCCUGGGGCCAACUCCAAUUUCCCUUUUAAAGUACAUUGAAACGCAGACAUGCUUUCCUUAGACAGCUGCUCAAUUUAUUUUAAUGAAAUUUGUUGCAUUUGAGAGAAAGGUAGGUUCAAUCGAUUGUCAGAAGCAGACAUUUUAUUUAAGUGCUUAAAUAUUUUCUAAGAAAUGCUCAAAAUUGAUAAUUUAAAAAUAUGGCAGCAUAAAUUUAUAACUUCAUAAAGCUGUAAUAAAAACAGGUAUCGCAUGUUUCAGUAAACUUGAUCUUUUAAAAAUACCUGAAGAGGGCACAUUCAUUAUCUGUACAGCUUACCUGAAAUUGUUACAUUGUUUUUGAAGGAUUUUACAAAAAUUCUAAAGCAGACAGAAUUGAUAUGCCGUAUAUACUCAAGUAAUGGCCGCACCCAUGUAAAAACUGCACCCUUGAUUUUUGAUAAGGUUGGCAGUGUUAUCUGUUGUAUGGUGCGAGAAUUCAGAAGCUUCUUUUUUUUUUUGAACUGGUGGCAAAACAAGGCAGCCGUGUCGAGUUUUCGGCGCCUCCGGGUAGCAAAAGCACUGCUUCCGAGAUUUAGCAGCUGCCUCUGAGACGCUGCAGUCACUGGCCUGUGGGUCGUCACCAUUUAUUCCAGCCAGUUGGUGACACGCUAAAGAAAUAGCCAAGAAUAGACAGUCAGUACAACCGAAUACUGUAGUCACCGAGUACUGUCAUGAAGACAAGCACCACCGAAAAUAUUUAAGGAAAAAAGGUGUUUUUUUACGUGUAAUGGCCGCAGCCCCCAAUUUCUCACCCCAAAUCUCGAGAGAAAACAAGCUGCAGCCAUUAAACAAGUAUAUACGGUAUACUGUUCUAAAACAUGUCAAUAAAUUAUGUAUUGAUGUCCCAAUAGAGGCGCUUUACUUAUUGCUGAAUCACAUAGUUUUCAACUUAAUGCUGAUGGCCUAAAUCGAAAAUGUGCUCUCUACUGUCGGUAAAUUUUAACGUUUAAUUAAAAAUAGCAACCGUCAUAAAUUUCAGUGCAGUGUGGUGACUGAAAUGAUUUUUCUAUUCUCAUGUGUUUGGAUAGGAGUGCCUGGGGUGAAGGCUUCUCUUAAAUGAUGUAAUUUUCCUGCCUAUAUAAAUAUUGUUCUUCAUUCUUAACUGCGUUUAUACCUUCACCACCUUGUACCUUGCAGCAUUUCUGCUUCACUUAAUUCUCGGAACUGAAGAGCCAGUUUACUUACUCUUUCAUGUUGUACCACCCCCUGUGACUCUAGUCUCUCCUCAGGCCUCAGGAUACUUGGUCAUUUCAGCAUAUAGAUGUGUCACACUUUUGAUAUCGGCGGUUGUCACUUGUUCUUUGAGUGUGUUGUAUGAUAUUCAAUAAAAAAGAAGCAUACUCAGAAUAUUGU
rnacentral:lncRNA from 1 species